rnacentral:rRNA from 1 species
UAUAAUCUAUUUGAUGAUCAAAAGUUACAUGGAUAACCGUGGCAAUUCUAGAGCUGAUACAUGCUUAAAGGCUGUGCUUGCGCAGCUGUGUUUAUUAGACAUACUCUACCAACCGAGGUGAUUCAUAAUAACCGUACGGACCUUUGCCAAUGGCAAAGGUAGAUCAUUCGAGUUUCUGACCUAUCAGCUUUCGACGGUAGGGUAUUGGCCUACCGUGGCUUUGACGGGUAACGGGGAAUUAGGGUUCGAUUCCGGAGAGGGAGCCUGAGAAACGGCUACCACA